UUAAAUUGAAGAGUUUGAUCAUGGCUCAGAUUGAACGCUGGCGGCAGGCCUAACACAUGCAAGUCGGACGGUAGCACAGGGGAGCUUGCUCCUCGGGUGACGAGUGGCGGACGGGUGAGUAAUGUCU
rnacentral:rRNA from 1 species